UAGGUGUUUAUUUCUUAGGAGCCCCCUCUUUCAUUAUACUUGAAGAUCAAUUUUGAUGGGAGUGUUCGAGGCAAACGUGAUGGGGUGGGGUUUAUGAUCAAUAGAUUCGAUUCCAAGUUGGUGGGGGCUAGGGGGAACCAUCUAUUUGAGCUUUCAAUUCAUGGUGCUGAGCUCCGCAUGGCAUGGGUAGGGAUUGUGUUUGCCAAAUAGAUCUUGAGGGC
rnacentral:lncRNA from 1 species